GGCCUACCAUGGUGGUAACGGGUAACGGGGUGUUAGGGCACGACACCGGAGAGGGAGCCUGAGAAACGGCUACCACAUCCAAGGAAGGCAGCAGGCGCGCAAAUUACCCAAUCCCGACACGGGGAGGUAGUGACAAUAAAUAACAAUACAGGGUUCUUUAGGAUCUUGUAAUUGGAAUGAGUACAAUUUAAAUCUCUUAACGAGGAACAAUUGGAGGGCAAGUCUGGUGCCAGCAGCCGCGGUAAUUCCAGCUCCAAUAGCGUAUAUUAAAGUUGUUGCAGUUAAAAAGCUCGUAGUUGAAUUUCGGGAUCAGUACGCUGGUCGUGUCUUGGUAUGUACUGGUGUUACUGGUUCCUACCUUCUGACGAACCGUCAUGUCAUUAAUUUGGUGUGGCGGGAAAUCAGGACUGUUACUUUGAAAAAAUUAGAGUGUUUAAAGCAGGCUCGCGCUUGAAUACAUUAGCAUGGAAUAAUGAAAUAGGACGUUCGAUCCUAUUUUGUUGGUUUCUAGGAUUGACGUAAUGAUUAAUAGGGAUAGUUGGGGGCAUUAGUAUUCAAUUGUCAGAGGUGAAAUUCUUGGAUUUAUUGAAGACUAACUACUGCGAAAGCAUUUGCCAAGGAUGUUUUCAUUAAUCAAGAACGAAAGUUAGGGGAUCGAAGACGAUCAGAUACCGUCGUAGUCUUAACCAUAACUAUGCCGACUAGGGAUCGGAUGAUGUUAAUUUUUUAAUGACUCAUUUCGGCGCCUUACCG
rnacentral:rRNA from 1 species